CAGCAGCCGCGGUAUUACAGAGGGUGCGAGCGUUAAUCGGAUUUACUGGGCGUAAAGCGUGCGUAGGCGGCUUUUUAAGUCGGAUGUGAAAUCCCUGAGCUUAACUUAGGAAUUGCAUUCGAUACUGGGAAGCUAGAGUAUGGGAGAGGAUGGUAGAAUUCCAGGUGUAGCGGUGAAAUGCGUAGAGAUCUGGAGGAAUACCGAUGGCGAAGGCAGCCAUCUGGCCUAAUACUGACGCUGAGGUACGAAAGCAUGGGGAGCAAACAGGAUUAGAUACCCCAGUAGUCCCUGUCUCUUAUAC
rnacentral:rRNA from 1 species